AUUAUUUUAGAAUUUGAAGAAAUUUCUUCUAUAGCAAGAAGAGGAUCUUUACCGUCUCAGCCACAACCUUCUGGUUGUGCUUGAAAAAUAUGGAGUUCAACUAUGUUUUUUGAAGUCAUAUGUGACUUAUAUUUUGUGACUACUCAAUGGUCAAAUAAUAUAUAUUUUGUCCUGUGGAUUUUGAAGAUAUUCAAGCUAGCCAAAUUUUGAACAUUUUGAGGCCAUGCAGGAACAAUUUGGAGCUAAGACAUUUUUGAUAUAUGUAGAACCUGUGUUUAGCAAAACAGGAGAAACAAUUGGAGUAAACUAUAUGGGAAUGGAAAUAACAGAUCAGGUGAGAAAAAGAGAAAGAAUGGCUAAGCCAAGGGAAGAAAUUGCAGUUCAGAAAGCUAAGGAAACAGAACUUAAUAAAACCAUUCACAUUACAG